GUGAGGAAUAUUGCGCAAUGGAGGCAACUCUGACGCAGCCAUGCCGCGUGCAGGAAGAAGGCGCUACGCGUUGUAAACUGCUUUUAACCGGGAAGAAACCCCAGGACGUGUCCUGGGUUGACGGUACCGGAGGAAUAAGCACCGGCUAACUUCGUGCCAGCAGCCGCGGUAAUUCGAAGGGUGCAAGCGUUAUCCGGAUUCAUUGGGUUUAAAGGGUGCGUAGGCGGAGCGUUAAGUCAGUGGUGAAAUCCGGCAGCUUAACUGUAGACUUGCCAUUGAUACUGGCGCUCUUGAGUGCGCUUGAAGUGGGCGGAAUGUGCCGUGUAGCGGUGAAAUGCUUAGAUAUGGCACAGAACACCAAUUGCGAAGGCAGCUCACUAAGGCGAUACUGACGCUGAGGCACGAAAGCGUGGGGAUCGAACAGGAUUAGAAACCCUAGUAGUCC
rnacentral:rRNA from 1 species